AGACCAAGAAUAAGAAGAAGAAGGCCAAAAGCAGCACAGUGCUUGUCUAGCUGGAACAAAGGUUAUAAGGUCGAGAGGACUCUGCAUGUCAGCAAGAAAUCCACAGGCAAUUGGCCAUAGAAGAAGGAUCGGUUAUAGCCGCUUCCGAUCGAUCAGCGUAUCAAUCAAAAUGCUCAGCUCGCUGGACGCGUUGGCUGGCAAAAUAGCCACUGCCACGCCAGGAACGGGAGCUGUAACGGCUGACAGUAAGAAUACACAGUCCCUACAUCAUCAUCAUCGCUUGGAGUACGAUUACUCGGCGGUUGAGAUUGAACCACCAGCCGAACAGUUGGCCAAUUCGCCGCGCAGCGAACGGGAAAGAUUGCAACAGGCUCAGCAGGCCUAUGAGCAGCAGGCCCAGGCGGAACUGGAAUUUGGUCUGGCCGAGGUGGAUGCCAAGAUGACACAGCUGAAGAGCAGUUCAAAUAUGCAGCACCACCAUUCCAGCCAACAUCAGUUACAGCGCCAUCCGCAUCACCAUCAGCUGCACCACCAUCAGCCCCACCACAAUCAACAUCAUAAUCAUCAUCAACAUAAUCAUCAUCAUCCCUACCAACGACCCAAACCCACAUCGCCGUCCCAUCACCAGCUGCAUCAAUCGCCCUCCUAUCAGCAGCAACUCUCCCACCUGGCCGCUCUGCAGGAUCACCAUGAUCUCCUCCAGUCCCAGCAGGAGCUCUUCCACAAACAGUUGGCCAAUAUGCAGGAGUACCAGCGGGAAAGGGAGCGAGAGCGAGAGCGAGAGCGGGAGAGGGAACGGGAACGGGAACGGGAGCGAGAGCGGGAGCGGGAGCGCGAGCGGGACAGGGAACGCAGCAGCUUUAUCGAUAGCAGUGACUACGAUUCCCAGACGGAGUUCAAAAUUUGCCUGAGGGAAAGUGCUUUUGGUAUGAGCGAUAAGAGCAGCAGCGCAACAAAUAGUCUGCCAAAUAGUCCCAUACACAGCAACAACAACAAUCCCUCGCUGCUGAACAACAACAAUAACGGCAGUAACAGCAACAAUAGCUUGAACGUCGGCAACAACAACAACAGCAAUCCGAACUUGGUCAACAGCAACAACGCUCUGGUGCCCGUCGGAAGCAACUCUAUAAUGUCCUCCGCCGGUUUGGUUAACAACAACAACAAUGCUUGUAGUGCCAAUCGAAAUGUGGUAGCACUUGUAGAUGAUGACGCCUGCUUCCGGAUGGACACUGAUGCCGCUGUGGUCACGUACGGCGAAAAGGAACCGGAUCCGGAUAACAUCAAGAUGUUCGUGGGCCAGGUGCCCAAGUCGAUGGAUGAGUCGCAGCUGCGUGAAAUGUUCGAGGAAUACGGCGCAGUGCACUCGAUCAACGUUCUGAGGGACAAGGCCACCGGAAUAAGCAAGGGUUGCUGUUUUGUGACGUUCUAUACGAGACGCGCCGCCCUGAAAGCCCAGGAUGCUUUGCAUAAUGUUAAGACGCUGAAUGGGAUGUAUCAUCCCAUUCAAAUGAAACCCGCCGAUAGCGAGAAUCGCAAUGAACGCAAACUCUUUGUGGGAAUGCUAAACAAGAAGCUGAACGAGAACGACGUACGUAAACUAUUUGAGGUCCACGGAGCCAUCGAGGAGUGCACCGUUCUUCGGGAUCAGAACGGUCAGAGUAAGGGUUGUGCCUUCGUCACAUUUGCCACCAAGCACGCUGCCAUUUCGGCCAUUAAGUUGACUCUUAGUCAGAACAAAAUCAUGGAGGGCUGCACAUCGCCAUUGGUCGUCAAGUUUGCCGACACUCAGAAGGAGAAGGAGCAGAAGAAGAUCCAGCAGAUUCAGGCUAAUUUGUGGAACCUGGCUAGUAAUAUUAACAUCCCAUUGGGACAGACGGCCACGAGCGUGGCCACGCCCAUUCUGCCCAACCCGCCGCAGCAGCCUUCACCGGUCCUUGGCGCCGAUGCCAUUACUCCGGCCUCCAUCCAACUGCUGCAGCAACUGCAGGCGGUUGGACUGCAACAGCAGUUGCUACAAGCCCUCACAGGACUGGGAGCCCAGCAAAGUACAGCGGCAACGGACACAAGCGCUGUGACAGCCGCCGGACUUUUAAGCCCGAUGACCGUCCAGAAUUUGGCGGCCAUUGCGGCCAUGACGCAGCCGAGUCUCACGAAUGCCGCCGCCGCAGCAGCUGCUGCCUCCUCGCCGGGAACGGCCCAGCUGACCAACACGGCUGCCCUGCUCUGGUCCGAUCCGAAUCCAUUGGCAUCGGCCUAUAUGUCAACAGCCGCCGGUCUACCGCAGUUCGGGAGUGCCAGUGCAUUGUCCACUUCGCCGCUGGCCAGCGUUGCCCUCAGUGCGGCAGCAGCCGCCGCAGCGGGAAAGCAGAUUGAAGGGCCCGAGGGCUGCAAUUUGUUCAUCUACCAUCUGCCGCAGGAGUUCACUGAUACGGAUCUGGCCUCCACGUUCCUGCCAUUCGGCAAUGUGAUCUCGGCCAAGGUGUUCAUCGACAAGCAGACCAGCCUGUCGAAAUGCUUCGGCUUCGUCUCGUUCGACAAUCCGGACUCGGCCCAGGUGGCCAUCAAGGCGAUGAACGGUUUCCAGGUGGGCACGAAGCGCCUCAAGGUGCAGCUGAAGAAGCCCAAGGACUCGAAGCCCUACUAGAGGGCAGAGCCGGAGGAUUCCAAGCAUCAGCAGCGUGGUUGUCCGGGCACAUUGAGGAGAGGAAUACUGAGAUUUGUGAAAUAUGGAGUAGUCAAUGAAUGAAGAGUUGCCCGUGUAGAGCGCGCGUUGCAAGAGUAAACGAUGAUGCGAAAGCCAACGUUAUGAUAUGUUGAGGUUUGCAAGAGUCUUUGCAAAUUUAUUUUUAUUUUUGGAAAGGCAAAGUCGAGUGGUAGUUGAUGCAAUCCGCCAGUUAAGAGUUGUUUGCUAAUCGUUCUUAGAAGACGCUUAGGUCCCUGAAACUUGUAAAUAUUAAAAGCUUGAGUCUCGAAAGUCCUACAAAAAUAAAUGCCUAUUCCACUGCUGUCGCAUAAAAAUUCCAAAGAACUGUACAUUUUAAAACCACAAACAUAUUGGAAAAACUGUAAAUUGAAUAUGGAAACAUGUUGUACGAUAGCCAAGAAAAGCCAUUUUAUAAGCUUGUAAAGCAAAAAAUAAUUUUAACAAAAUAAAUUUAUAAAAACACACUGA